rnacentral:rRNA from 1 species
AUACGGAGGGGGUUAGCGUUGUUCGGAAUUACUGGGCGUAAAGCGUGCGUAGGCGGACUAUUAAGUCAGAGUUGAAAUCCCGGGGCUCAACCCCGGAACUGCCUUUGAUACUGGUAGUCUUGAGGUCGAGAGAGGUGAGUGGAAUUCCUAGUGUAGAGGUGAAAUUCGUAGAUAUUAGGAGGAACACCAGUGGCGAAGGCGGCUCACUGGCUCGAUUCUGACGCUGAGGUACGAAAGUGUGGGGAGCAAACAGGAUUAGAUACCCUAGUAGUCC